AACGGCCGUACCAUGCUGAAUAUACCGGUUCUCGUUAGAUCACCGAAGUUUUACGCGGUCAGUACUUGGGUGGGUGACCACCUGGGAAAUAUA